UGACCGCUGGCGGCGUGCCUACUACAUGCAAGUCGCGCGAACAGACGAGGAGCUUGCUCCUCUGACGUUAGCGGCGGACGGGUGAGUAACACGUGGAUAACCUACCUAUAAGACUGGGAUAACUUCGGGAAACCGGAGCUAAUACCGGAUAAUAUAUUGAACCGCAUGGUUCAAUAGUGAAAGACGGUUUUGCUGUCACUUUUAGAUGGAUCCGCGCCGCAUUAGCUAGUUGGUAAGGUAACGGCUUACCAAGGCAACGAUGCGUAGCCGACCUGAGAGGGUGAUCGGCCACACUGGAACUGAGACACGGUCCAGACUCCUACGGGAGGCAGCAGUAGGGAAUCUUCCGCAAUGGGCGAAAGCCUGACGGAGCAACGCCGCGUGAGUGAUGAAGGUCUUCGGAUCGUAAAACUCUGUUAUUAGGGAAGAACAAAUGUGUAAGUAACUAUGCACGUCUUGACGGUACCUAAUCAGAAAGCCACGGCUAACUACGUG
rnacentral:rRNA from 1 species